UGAAAAACUAGUUAAAUAAUAACAUAAGAUUGUCAUUCUUAAAUUACAAUAGUGUUUUUUAA
rnacentral:tRNA from 1 species